GACGUAGGGCGCGAGCGUUGUCCGGAUUUAUUGGGCGUAAAGAGCUCGUAGGCGGCUUGUCGCGUCGACUGUGAAAACCCGCGGCUCAACCGCGGGCCUGCAGCCGAUACGGGCAGGCUAGAGUUCGGUAGGGGAGACUGGAAUUCCUGGUGUAGCGGUGAAAUGCGCAGAUAUCAGGAAGAACACCAAUGGCGAAGGCAGCUCUCUGGGACGGUACUGACGCUGAGACGCGAGAGCGUGGGGAGCGAACAGG
rnacentral:rRNA from 1 species